rnacentral:SRP_RNA from 1 species
AUGUGAGCUAGGUGGCAGAGGUAGCAGUUCUGUGUUACACUAAACCUGCUUUAGAGUGCACCGAAGCUAGAACAGCGAACAAUGAAUUGUAGAACACGCUUAAGCAACGGCAACGAAGUGCUGUCCUCAUGGAUUGCCUUAUUGAAGCCAACCCGCCAGAUUCGGAAGAAAGCAACGGUAAUUCAAAAAAGCAAUGUUAUGAGUUCGCAGCAUGGAGCUUUGUUUAAGAACAACGUUUUCUUCAACCAUUGCCCCAUGUUUUGGCAUGCUCACAC